UAAUACAAAUCAACAAAGCCGAUAAAUU
rnacentral:piRNA from 1 species